GGGUCAGAUGUUUUCACACACUAUCAUGUGGCUGACUGUGACAUGUAAGAGCCAUUCAACUUUAGUGAUGUUAAAAUGUGAAAACAGUGUGCAUCUUGGAAACAUGUGAAAUAGGCUCAGCGGAAGACUCUGGGCCAGACCUGGAAGCUCGGGGGUGCUUGGUCUUCUGGCAGACCAGGGGUAAGUACUCCUCAUCUGGCUGCUUGGGCCUCCUCCCUGCAUGGCAGGCUUCUUUGGCAGAAACUUCUGGAAGGAAACCAGGAUUGUCAAUUCAGGAGCCCCACAACUCCCACUCAAAAAGGCAGGGAGAGCCCUGGUUCCUUGUGGGAGCUGCAGAGCUCAGUCACCCUGCAGAACAAGCACCCUCAGGGCUCCAGGCCUCCCAAAAUAAUUCAUUUUGGGUCAGGUGCACCCCCUAGGCUUAAUCAGUGCUGAUGCCACUCUGGGUCUGAUCCUCUUGGGCUGAACCCACUGGGGUUCCUGUGUGACCUGCUUCCCACUGUGUCUCCAAGACCCAGUACACAGUAGGCCUGAACACCAAGUGUGUUGUGGUAUGUGCACAGGGAGCUGCAGGAACUUCCUGUGAGAAUAAACACAGGUGCACACACCAGCAGGGAGCUCAGGUACCCAUCACAGAGAAACAAGACCCAAGUCCACACAGAAGUGGGUCCUCCAAUCCUCAUAGUUUUAUUUGUGAGAGCCCCAAACUGGAAACAGUCGGAUGCCCUCCAAUGAGUGGCCUGUAUGCAAACAGUGCCUUGUUCACACAGAGGCCACAGGUCAAGGAAAGUGCUGACAUGGGCACCACAGGCUGGAUCUCCAUGAACAGAGCGCUGAGUGAAGAAAGCAUACUCCAAGCACACAAGAUGCAGGAUUCCAU
rnacentral:lncRNA from 1 species